CACCCACCUUGGCCUCCUAAAGUACUAGGAUUACAGGCAUGAGCCACCAUGCCUGAGCUACACGCUCAUGGUAAAAACAUGUCUCUGGAGGCUGUCUUUGGGAUUCCUCAACUUAUUUUGUGUUAUAAUGGAUGUACCACAGUUUGUUUAUCCAUUCACUUAACCUCAGGCUAAUGGAGUACCUGCUUCUAAAGUUCUAAAUCAAGUGAAUCCCUUAUGGUAGCAGCAACAGCAGCCAAACUUACUGUUUUCUCAGAAUGCCCCACUUUGCUGGGCAACAGAGCUGGGUGGGGGUGAUGGGAACAGCCUUGUGCAAAAACACCACAGAUUGCACAGUUCUUACCUGAAAAGUUCAGUAGUUUUCACGAAUAAAUGCUUCUGAUUUUGUUGUAUUCCUUAGGACAAAUUCUGGAGUACUAAAGUGAUUGUUUUUGAAUUUUGUCCAAUUUUAGGAUUCCUUUUGAGGGAGGUUUCUUAACGUCCUCACUCUGUCAUACUGGAAGCCAGAAAUUAUUUUUUUUCAGUAGGCAGGAAGGAGAGUAUCUGAUUAUUGUACUUCUGUUAAAUUAACUUAUUUAUUAAAAUAUUUAGAUGGGUUCCAAGCCAGACUUUGUUAUUUAUCUAUUUAUUUUUUAGAGACAGGGUCUUGCUUUGUCACCCAGGCUAGAGUACAGUGGCUCAGUCAUAGCUCACUGUAACUUCAAACUCUUGGGCUCAAGCAAUCCUCCUGCCUCAGCCUCCCAAGUAGCCAGGACUAUAGGUGUGUGCCACUGUGCCUGGCUAAUCUUUUUUAAAAUAUUUUUUUGUAGAGAUGGGGUCUUGCU
rnacentral:lncRNA from 1 species